rnacentral:rRNA from 1 species
CAGUAGCCGCGGUAAUACGAGGGGGGCAAGCGUUGUUCGGAAUUAUUGGGCGUAAAGGGUGCGCAGGCGGUUAUAUAAGACAGAUGUGAAAUCCCCGGGCUCAACCUGGGACCUGCAUUUGUGACUGUAUAGCUAGAGUACGGUAGAGGGGGAUGGAAUUCCGCGUGUAGCAGUGAAAUGCGUAGAUAUGUGGAGGAACACCAGUGGCGAAGGCGACUCUCUGGUCUGUAACUGACGCUGAGGAGCGAAAGCGUGGGGAGCGAACAGGAUUAGAUACCCCGGUAGUCCCUGUCUCUUAUAC